CGUUGAGUGCAAUGGCAGAAGCCAGCCUGACUGCAAGACUGACAAGUCGAGCAGAGUCGAAAGACGGCCAUAGUGAUCCGGUGGUCCCGCGUGGAAGGGCCAUCGCUCAACGGAUAAAAGGUACGCCGGGGAUAACAGGCUGAUACUGCCCAAGAGUCCAUAUCGACGGCAGUGUUUGGCACCUCGAUGUCGGCUCAUCUCAUCCUGGGGCUGGAGCAGGUCCCAAGGGUUUGGCUGUUCGCCAAUUAAAGCGGUACGUGAGCUGGGUUUAGAACGUCGUGAGACAGUUCGGUCCCUAUC
rnacentral:rRNA from 1 species